GGCGACAUCGCCAAGUGGUAAGGCAGAGGUCUGCAAAACCUCUAUCAUCGGUUCGAAUCCGAUUGUCGCCUCGA
rnacentral:tRNA from 1 species